GACGGAGGGCGCAAGCGUUGUUCGGAAUUACUGGGCGUAAAGCGCGCGCAGGCGGGAAGGUAAGUCUGGAGUGAAAUUCCGGGGCUCAACUCCGGAGCUGCUUUGGAUACUGUCUUUCUAGGGACCGGUAGAGGCCGGUGGAAUUCCCGGUGUAGCGGUGGAAUGCGCAGAUAUCGAGAGGAACACCUGCGGCGAAGGCGGGUAGCUGGGCCGACACUGACGCUGAUGCGCGAAAGCCAGGGGAGCGAACGGG
rnacentral:rRNA from 1 species